rnacentral:rRNA from 1 species
AAUGCACCCAUGGGCUAAUUUUUUACUUAUCAACCGUCGAGCGGGGGAAAGGUAGCUUGCUACUGUUCCUAGCGGCGGACGGGCCGAGUAAUGCUUAGGAAUCUGCCUAUUAGUGGGGGACAACAUUCCGAAAGGAAUGCUAAUACCGCAUACGUCCUACGGGAGAAAGCAGGGGACCUUCGGGCCUUGCGCUAAUAGAUGAGCCUAAGUCGGAUUAGCUAGUUGGUGGGGUAAAGGCCUACCAAGGCGACGAUCUGUAGCGGGUCUGAGAGGAUGAUCCGCCACACUGGGACUGAGACACGGCCCAGACUCCUACGGGAGGCAGCAGUGGGGAAUAUUGGACAAUGGGGGGAACCCUGAUCCAGCCAUGCCGCGUGUGUGAAGAAGGCCUUAUGGUUGUAAAGCACUUUAAGCGAGGAGGAGGCUACUAGUAUUAAUACUACUGGAUAGUGGACGUUACUCGCAGAAUAAGCACCGGCUAACUCUGUGCCAGCAGCCGCGGUAAUACAGAGGGUGCGAGCGUUAAUCGGAUUUACUGGGCGUAAAGCGUGCGUAGGCGGCCAUUUAAGUCAAAUGUGAAAUCCCCNGAGCUUAACUUGGGAAUUGCAUUCCAUACUGGAUGGCUAGAGUAUGGGAGAGGAUGGUAGAAUUCCAGGUGUAGCGGUGAAAUGCGUAG